GGGGAAUUUUGGACAAUGGGGGAAACCCUGAUCCAGCAAUGCCGCGUGAGUGAAGAAGGCCUUCGGGUUGUAAAGCUCUUUCAGUUGAGAAGAAAAGAUUGUGACUAAUAAUCAUAAUUAAUGACGGUAUCAACAGAAGAAGCACCGGCUAACUACGUGCCAGCAGCCGCGGUAAUACGUAGGGUGCGAGCGUUAAUCGGAAUUACUGGGCGUAAAGGGUGCGCAGGCGGUUAUGUAAGUCAGAUGUGAAAUCCCCGGGCUUAACCUGGGAAUUGCGUUUGAAACUACAUGACUAGAGUGUAACAGAGGGAAGUGGAAUUCCAUGUGUAGCAGUGAAAUGCGUAGAGAUAUGGAGGAACAUCGAUGGCGAAGGCAGCUUCCUGGGUUAACACUGACGCUCAUGCACGAAAGCGUGGGGAGCAAAC
rnacentral:rRNA from 1 species